rnacentral:tRNA from 2 species
GCGUAGCUCAGUGGAUAGAGCGUCUGCCUCCGGAGCAGAAGGUCGUAGGUUCGAAUCCUGUCGCG